GACAGAGGGUGCAAACGUUGUUCGGAAUUACUGGGCGUAAAGCGCGUGUAGGCGGCCCUGCAAGUCGGAUGUGAAAGCCCACGGCUCAACCGUGGAAGUGCGUUCGAAACUGCAGGGCUAGAGUCCUGGAGAGGAAGGUGGAAUGCUUGGUGUAGAGGUGAAAUUCGUAGAUAUCAAGCGGAACACCGGUGGCGAAGGCAGCAGACUGGGCCUUACCUGACGCUGAGGAGCGAAAGCGUGGGUAGCGAACAGG
rnacentral:rRNA from 1 species